GACAUAGGGUGCAAACGUUGUUCGGAAUUACUGGGCAUAAAGAGCACGUAGGUGGUUCGCUAAGUCACGUGUGAAAUCCCCCGGCUCAACCGGGGAAUUGCGCGUGAUACUGACGAACUCGAGGCGGGUAGGGGUGAGCGGAACUCCAGGUGGAGCGGUGAAAUGCGUAGAUAUCAGGAGGAACACCUGCGGUGUAGACGGCUUACUGGACCAUAACUGACGCUGAGGCACGAAAGCGUGGGUAGCAAACAGG
rnacentral:rRNA from 1 species